GACGAACGCUGGCGGCGUGCUUAACACAUGCCAGUCGAACGGAAAGGCGCUGCUUGCUGGGUACUCGAGUGGCGAACGGGUGAGUAACACGUGGGUGAUUUGCCCUUCACUUCGGGUUAAGCCUGGGAAACUGGGCCUAAUACCGGAUAGGCGCCAUUUUUAGUGUGAUGGUUGGAAAGUUUUUUCGGUGUAUGAUGAGCUUGCGGCCUAUCAGCUUGUUGGUGGGGUAAUGGCCUACCAAGGCGGCGAGGGGUAGCCGGCCUGAGAGGGUGGACGGCCACACUGGGACUGAGGGACGGCACAGACUGGGAAGGGAGGCAGCAGGGGGGAAGAUUGAACAAGGGGCGCAAGCCGGAUGCAGAGACGCUGCGUAGGGGAUGACGGCCUUAGGGGUGAAAACUCGUUUCGAUAGGGACGAAGCUUUUUGUGACGGUACCUAGAGAAGAAGCACCGGCUAACUACGUG
rnacentral:rRNA from 1 species